GCUGUGACUCAGCUGCUGACUCGUUGGUUCGAGAGCUCACCAUUAAGAUCCAUCCAUGCCGCAACAUAUAUUUAUAUAUAAUCAAUUUGGUGCUGUGCUCCUGAUCCAACGAUGCGGGAGCUGCAUUCAGUUG
rfam:Cajanus cajan CcLG02_2312, whole genome shotgun sequence.